ACGGAAACCCCAUCGUUCGUCUACAACGAGUGCUGGCAAAAAUGGGGAGCUGACCCCAGACUGCCGAGACCAGGACCCCUGCAAACUCUUCAUGACCUGAGUAGCAAGAUGAAAAGAAGAGAUGACCUUCACAAGGAUGAACAUUUGGAUUUUUUUGAGGAGAGGAAGAGGCAAGAGGGUGGUGAAAUAUUCGAUUACGAUAGGCCAAGUUUAUUUCAGUACGCUUGGUCGUCGGAAAAACAAAUGGCAUUGCUGGAUGAACAGGCAUCAGGCGGAACGGCUUAUCUGGAUAGCACAGGCGGUUUUAUCAGGAACGCACCGCCUGGGCGAGAAGGGGAACUGCCCCGCCCCGUGUUCUACGCUGCGCAGGGGCGCCGGAAGUGGGGGGCAGGGGGGGCCAAAUGCCCCCCCUGAAUCGGCUGCGGGCCCUUUCGGCCCGCGAAGCGGGCCCUCUCUUAGCCUGCGAAGCGGGCCCUUUGGGUGCUUUUGGGCCUCCGAAACGGGACUGAUCAAACGACAAGAGAGAAGCGAAAACUUGGAAAAGGGGCCCCGCGAAGCACUGGAGGUGCCCUUAGGCAGACCCCAGUGGACGAGAAAAUGUCCAAGUCAUGUCAAGUCAAUUCACAAAUAUGAUGUCAUUUUAACGACAUUUGGAGUCAGAAUGAUGUCAAAAUGACCUCAAAUUGACUGAAAAUGACGUCAAAAUGACAUCAUAUUUGUGAAAUGACUUGACUUGACAAGACUUAGACUAUAUUUUGUCCACUGAGCAGUAAAAGCACUUAGAGAUAAAUUGCAAUUUAUUUGAAAUAUCAUUUUGAACACAACGUUGCAAAAAGCUGCAUUUUGGUCAUUUUUAAAAAGAUAAACGCUUUGCGAAUAACCGGGCCCUUUUGGAAAAAUCCGGGCCCUUUUGUUACUCCGCCCCCCCUGUAAAAUCAACUUCCGGCGCCCCUGACGCUGCGCUAACGGUGAAGCCAGUUGUCGGCCAUCACAGUGUUCCUGUGUCGCAGAUGAUGACAACUCCACAGAGUGCUGCGGCUUGCUGCAACUGGCUCCUACAUCUGAGGUGUCAGUGGAACCAAAAAUGGAGCGGGGCGGCGGGCCGCCUGUUUAAGACCGUCGUGAUUGAUGACAGCUGGGCUUAUAUACACUCGGUACUUAUCUGCUUCAA